UUAAACACUCUCAGGGUCGACACAGGGGGACAUCCGUGUUACUACCGAACUGAUCGGUAGUGUAUUCGGCAUACCUUCUAGAGGGGACCCAAUCCCAGAAUUGCAGAAGAAAAAUGCAUCCCAUCUGGCACUUAAGAGACAAUUCCAGAAGAAAACAACAACACAACUGCGGGACUUUGUCUUUGCCUGUCCAAUGGAGACCGAGCAACAAAGGAUGGCUUUU